rnacentral:tRNA from 1 species
GGGUCUUUAGCUCAAAAUGGUAGAGCGCUCGGUCAUCCCCUGUGAUGGCUUGAGGUUGGUGGUUCAAAUCCACCAAGAUUCG